rnacentral:antisense_RNA from 1 species
UGUGGGAGCUGGCUUGCCUGCGAUGACGGAGUGCCAGUCAGUGGAUAAUCAACUGACAGACCGCUAUCGCAGGCAAGCCAGCUCCCACA